AAUUGGCAUGUACUAGUGAAGGGAAGGGUGUCAAGUAGAUAUGUGGAUAUAAUUAAAGAUAUGUAUGAGGGUGUGGUGACCAGCAUGAAAUCUAUGGUAGGUUAGUGAAUUCCCAAUUUCAAUUGGGCUACGUCGAGGGUCAAUUUUUAGCCCUUAUUUGUUUUUGCUUAUCAUGGAUGAGUUAACUAGGAAAAUUGAAGACAAAAGCCUGUGGUGUAUGCUCUUUGUUGAUGAUAUUAUUUUGGUGGUGAGACAAAAUUAGGGAUUAACGCUGAGUUUCAAUUUCGGAAACAUUUCCAUCUUAUUCAAUCAAGUGUUAUAUAAGAUCAGAUUUUCCAUAAACUUCCAAAAUCUUCAUUACAUGGUGAGAUACAUGUAAAGGAGGUACUAUUACUUUUCUGUAGUUAAGUUUCUUAAUAAGCAGAUAUUAAAAUGAAUUAUUUAAUUGUUCAUUAAUAGAUUUACUUUGACUAAUGGGUCUCAAAUUUUCUAAGAGGAAAAAAAAAAAAAAACUUAGUUUACAAAUUUUCUCCCAAAACCAAACUAAGUGCCCAUCAAACCAAAGAGAUCCCAAUUAUAGACCUCAGAAAAAUGGGGAAAAAGAAGUCCUUAAAGGUAUUGAUAAUAUUUCCCUUUUAAUUUUCCUUUUUGCAAGGUGAAUCAUAUUCUUAUAUAUUUUUAUGAUUUUUUAAUGACAGUAGUAAUUUUUAUUAUAUUUUAGUGAUUCAACAGUUGAAACCUGAAGUUGUUGUGACAACUCAAGUCCAUAGAACAUGAGAGUUAAGUUCGUUUCAAGUUCUAAAAACUAGUAGUAAAGUGCUUAGCACAAGCACAAUUGUCCUGGUAGUUGUUUGUUUAUUCAGUAAUAAGUAAAUGGCAAGUUAAUUAUAACGAAGGAGAGUUCCAUUCAAACACUCAAGCAUAAGUUGUAGAUGGAGGUUGUUGAAUGGUUAAAAGUCUCUCUAGAAUUAAUGAUAUUGAUAAAUGGAAAAAACUGAGUUAUUUUGGUAAAAGAUGAUUUUUAUUUUUUGGGGCAAAAAUUGAUUGGGCACCUUGUGCCCUUGAGAGAAGCACAUAUAGUGCAGAGGGUCGAUCCUGAAUCUAUGAAUGACUAAUAAUAGAACUUGCCAAUUGAGGCAACUUCAAACUUUCUGUGGUCCCAAGGAAAAUAGAGGGAAGGGAGGCGAAAUUAAAUCAAAAUUAAAAUAGCAAUUUUUUUUAAUCAUUCUUAACAUGAAUUUGUAACUAAAUCAUUCCAAAUCUGAUUAUGAAAUUUUAUUAUCCUUUUACCUCUUGUCCUCUCCCAGUGUUAUCUGUUUCCAGAAAUGCUCAAACCUCGGAAUGUUGAAAGAAAAAAAAAACAAAAAAUAAAAAAACAAAAACAGAAUAGAAAUCAACCCGACAAUCCCAUACCCCAUCCAGUCCCCCGCCCUCUCACUGCAACUUUCUCUUUCCCUGAUACAUGGUUACUGGCUGAUUUUUCUGGUUUGGAGGUGUAUGCUUGGACUUGCUUCCUCAUUUCUUCAAAAGAAAUGACCUAUCACUUCAUUGCAGAAUGUACUUUAUUUGACAGCAGACCAAUACCCAUCUUCUGGUUAACAUGCACUACUGAACUUGUUAAAGAGUUUUCCAGUUGGUUCACAGACAAGAGAGAUAGAAGUUUUGCUUCUUUCCCCCAAUCUCCCCUCCCCCUUUUUCCUUGUCUUUCAAAUGUCAUAACAUCAACACUUCUAGAACAGUGUUCCCAGAGAUAGAAGUGGAAAGGAGAGUGAUAUAGAGAUGACGGUCUAAAGGAUCUCAAGCCUGGGAUGAAAGGUCCAUUUGAAAGGCAAGUCUUUCAUAUUCAUCUUUGGGAUUUUCUUAUUGACAACCCUUAAGGUGCCAAAUAGUUUUUAAUCUUACUUUUUUUUCCCUUUUAUUAUAACACAGUUCUCCUUUUAGCAAGGGUAAAAUCUUGUCAUUUCACAUGUGUACAAACGACAUGAGCAAGACAAUGACAACUAUUGAAAUUAACGUGACGGAAAGUACAAUUACAACUUACUAGUUAUUUUGAAUUACCUUUUUUGCCCCGAGUUAAAGAACUUUUGGCUAUAAGAUAAAGGGCACUUUAAAAAAGGUUGCAUGUUCUAAAUACAUCUAUAGAGUGUCAUAUCGACAAUCCCUUCAUCUUUAUUAAUAAAGUGAAAACUAAUCAAUCACAAUGUAAAAGCAUCAACAUUUUACAACCAUGAACCACCCAUCCACUAUCCCUGUUGUCACCAAUUUUAUUUUAUUUGCAAUCUUGUCACACGUAAACAAUCCUUUCCUCAAUUCUACUUGAGCAUUAUUUAUGUGCAAAGCUUUUGUUUCUAGAACUCGAAAUGCAAAAAUGCUUCAGUGACCUAUUGAAGAUAGGUAUGCAUCCAUCUUCUCAGGUUUCUUCCAUCUUAGGAGCGUAUGUUGCCACAGCGUCUGUGACUCUGACGAAGAUAUUCUCAUUGCCAAUCAAGUCUGUAAACUUGGAUGCAUGAAGUUUUUCCAUCACCAGCGGCCCAGGAUUCGCUAAGACAAGCUAAGCAAGACAAUUAUGGGACUAAUAAGGUACUUCUGCCAUACAUGAUAAGCACAAGGUACCUGAGGUACGGCAAGGCUAGCUAUGGUGAGUCCGGCGAUGAUAUCUCCUUUCAACUUUGUUAAAUUGUAGUCUCUCCCCCACUCAAAAAUUGGAAAAAUUGAUUGGAGAACUAACAUGAACUUUUUUGACCGAGUUUGGCCUAUGAAUUGGCGUAAAGGAUCAUCUGGAAAGAAAGUUUCCUUGAAAGUUGCUUUGAUUCCGUUGAAGAGAUUUUGUCUAGUAGGCAUUCCCACCCUGUGAACAUAUGGCAAGUCCUCUACAAUUCCCAUCUCCUUUGAAUCAAACUCUUCAAUGGAAUAAUGAGUCAUAGGAAACAGAUACUAUUGAUGAAGUUUCAACACAAAUGGGAUGUAUUCACCUGUACAAACAGAAAAACAAACUGUCACUGAUGGCAAUUUACAAAUGACAUAUAAAUUUGGUCUAAACUCUAGACCUGGUGUCA